GAUCCUGGCUCAUAUUGAACGCUGGCGGCAUGCCUUACACAUGCAAGUCGAACGGUAACGCGGGGCAACCUGGCGACGAGUGGCGAACGGGUGAGUAAUAUAUCGGAACGUGCCCAGUAGUGGGGGAUAGCCCGGCGAAAGCCGGAUUAAUACCGCAUGAGACCUGAGGGUGAAAGCGGGGGAUCGCAAGACCUCGCGCUAUUGGAGCGGCCGAUAUCAGAUUAGCUAGUUGGUGGGGUAAAGGCCUACCAAGGCAACGAUCUGUAGUUGGUCUGAGAGGACGACCAGCCACACUGGGACUGAGACACGGCCCANACUCCUACGGGAGGC
rnacentral:rRNA from 1 species